rnacentral:rRNA from 1 species
UACGAAGGGGGCUAGCGUUGCUCGGAUUUACUGGGCGUAAAGCGCGCGUAGGUGGCUUCGUAAGUCCGUUGUGAAAGUCAAAGGCUCAACCUUUGAAUGCCGAUGGAUACUGCGGGGCUAGAGUACGGAAGAGGCGAGUGGAAUUCCUGGUGUAGCGGUGGAAUGCGCAGAUAUCAGGAGGAACACCAACAGCGAAGGCAGCUCGCUGGGACGUUACUGACACUAAGGCGCGAAAGCGUGGGGAGCGAACAGG